UCCCAGACUCCUACGGGAGGCAGCAGUGGGGAAUAUUGGGCAAUGGGCGCAAGCCUGACCCAGCAACGCCGCGUGAAGGAAGAAGGCUUUCGGGUUGUAAACUUCUUUUAUUGAGGACGAAACAAAUGACGGUACUCAAUGAAUAAGCCACGGCUAACUACGUGCCAGCAGCCGCGGUAAUACGUAGGUGGCAAGCGUUGUCCGGAUUUACUGGGUGUAAAGGGCGUGUAGCCGGGCUGACAAGUCAGAUGUGAAAUCCGGGGGCUCAACCCCCGAACUGCAUUUGAAACUGUUGGUCUUGAGUAUCGGAGAGGCAGACGGAAUUCCUAGUGUAGCGGUGAAAUGCGUAGAUAUUAGGAGGAACACCAGUGGCGAAGGCGGUCUGCUGGACAGCAACUGACGCUGAGGCGCGAAAGCGUGGGGAGCAAACAGGAUUAGAUACCCGCGUAC
rnacentral:rRNA from 1 species